AUGCUCCCAGCCAUUACUAAAGGUUCAGCUUGUUUACCAGAAAGGAAUAAUUCCUAUUUUCACUUAAAAAUUCAGAAAAAAUGUGAACAACUUUAAGUUAAGAAAACAGCAUUAAAGAAAGAGGGAGAACAGGAACUACUGAAGGCCCUAAUGCCUAUUGGACCUGGAGUAAUGUCGAAACAGAAACAGCCUCAGUCAGAUGAAGAACUAGAAAAAUUGUAAAAAGACGGCACAAUGAUAUGCCAUGAUAUUACCAUCCUGCCAAUAGAGGAAGAUAGAUCAACAUGGACGAUCAACACCAUCUUGCUGAAAUGGAUGAGAGCAAGCACAGGCUUUUUGGCUAAUAGCAAAACAGGAAGAAGAGAUGGGCCAGACACAGAAAAAACACUGCUAUGUAAAGGAGGAGCCCUUAGAAGAACAGUCUCAUUGCUGGGCGGCUAUGCUGCAGUGCAAAAACUAAUAAAAUGCCCCAGUACUCAGUAG
rnacentral:lncRNA from 1 species